GCCCUGCAGGAGGCUCUGUCGGUGGUGAGCGACGACCAGUCCCUCUUUGACUCAGCGUACGGAGCGGCGGCCCAUCUCCCCAAGGCCGACAUGACUGCCUCGGGGAGUCCUGACUACGGGCAGCCCCACAAGAUCAACCCCCUCCCACCGCAGCAGGAGUGGCUCAAUCAGCCAGUGAGGGUCAAUGUCAAGCGGGAAUAUGACCACGUGAAUGGGUCCAGGGAGUCUCCGGUGGACUGCAGCGUUAGCAAAUGCAGCAAGCUGGUGGGCGGAGGCGAGUCCAACCCCAUGAACUACAACAGCUAUAUGGACGAGAAGAAUGGCCCCCCUCCUCCUAACAUGACAACCAACGAGAGGAGAGUCAUCGUCCCCGCAGGUAAUUCGAGAACCAGGCUGCCUGGGCGCCAUUCACUUCCCCACUCUCUGGGGGGGCAGGGAGCAUCUAAACCUUUAUCCGAUACUCUAUUCCCUGUGGAAUUGCAAAAUGGAGAAAGCUGCAUGCCAGCCGGGAGUGGUGGCUUAUGCCUGUAAUCCCAGCACUUUGAGAAGCUGAGACGGGUGAAUCACUUGUCAGGAGUUCAAGACCAGCCUAGCCAACAUGGUGAAACCUCAUCUCUACC
rnacentral:sRNA from 1 species